GACGAACGCUGGCGGCGUGCUUAACACAUGCAAGUCGAACGGAAAGGCCUCUUUCGGGGGGUACUCGAGUGGCGAACGGGUGAGUAACACGUGAGUAACCUGCCCUUGACUUUGGGAUAACUUCAGGAAACUGGGGCUAAUACCGGAUAGGAGCUCCUGCUGCAUGGUGGGGGUUGGAAAGUUUCGGCGGUUGGGGAUGGACUCGCGGCUUAUCAGCUUGUUGGUGGGGUAGUGGCUUACCAAGGCUUUGACGGGUAGCCGGCCUGAGAGGGUGACCGGCCACAUUGGGACUGAGGGACGGCCCAGACUCCUACGGGAGGCAGCAGUGGGGAAUAUUGCACAAUGGGUGGAAGCCUGAUGCAGCAACGCCGUGUGCGGGAUGACGGCCUUCGGGUUGUAAACCGCUUUCGCUCAUGACGAAGCUUUGUGUGACGGUAGUGGGUAAAGAAGCACCGGCUAACUACGUG
rnacentral:rRNA from 1 species